AACGAACGCUGGCGGUAUGCUUAACACAUGCAAGUCGAACGAUGAGAAAGAGCUUGCUCUUUCGAUUAGUGGCGGACGGGUGCGUAACGCGUAGGAAUCUACCUAUUAGUGGGGGACAACUUAGGGAAACUUAAGCUAAUACCGCAUACGCCCUACGGGGGAAAGAAGGGGAUCGCAAGACCUUUUGCUAAUAGAUGAGCCUGCGUAGGAUUAGCUAGUUGGUGGGGUAAAAGCUCACCAAGGCGACGAUCCUUAACUGGUUUGAGAGAAUGAGCAGGCACACUGGAACCGAGACAGGGUCAAGACUCCAACGGGAGGCAGCAGGGGGGAAUAUUGAACAAUGGGCGAAAGCCUGUUCCAGCAAUACCGGGUGUGUGAAGAAGGCCUUAGGGUUGUAAAGCACUUUCAAUUGGAAGGAAAACCUCGAAGCUAAUACCUUCGAGUUUGACAUUACCUUUAGAAGAAGCACCGGCUAACUCCGUGCCAGCAGCCGCCGUAAUAC
rnacentral:rRNA from 1 species